UCAAGUUACUAAGGGUGCAUGGUGGAUGCCUUGGCAUCAAGAAGCGACGAAAGACGUGGGAGCCUGCGAUAAGCUCCGGGGAGUCGGCAACCAGACUGCGAUCCGGAGAUUUCUGAAUGAGGAAACUCAUUAAUCCUGCAAUGAAUGCAUAGUUGUAGGAGGCGAACCCAGGGAACUGAAACAUCUAAGUACCUGGAGGAAAAGAAAGAGACAUCGAUUCCGUGAGUAGCGGCGAGCGAAACCGGAACAGCCCAAACCGGGAUUCGUCCCGGGGUUGUGGGCGCCUUGAGCUGAAUAAGUCUUAGCAAAACGAUCUGGAAAGGUCGGCCAAAGAGGGUGAUAGCCCCGUAUGCGAAAAGACCAAAUAGGCGUUGAGAGGCGUUCCAGAGUAGCACGGAUCUCGUGGAACUCCGUGCGAAGCUACGCGGACCACCGCGAAAGGCUAAAUAUUCCUUGAUGACCGAUAGUGAACAAGUAGGGCGAUUGAACGGUGAAAAGCACAGCUAUUAGCUGAGUGAAAAGUACCUGAAACCAUGCACUUACAAGCGGUCGGAGCACUAUGGCGCAAGCCACGUGUGACGGCGUACCUUUUGCAUAAUGGACCGGCGAGUUUAUGUUGGCAGCAAGGCUAAGCAGCACACCUGCGGAGCCGUAGCGAAAGCGAGUCUUAAGAUGGCGUUGAGUUGUCAGCAUAAGGCCCGAAACCCCGUGAUCUACCCAUGGGCAGAGUGAACGACCCGUAACAGGGUCGGGAGGCUCGAAGCCGUGAACGUUGAAAAGUUCUGGCAUGACCUGUGGGGAGGAGUGAAAGUCUAAUCAAACGGGGAGAUAUCUGGUUCUCUUCGAAAUGCCUUUAGGGGCAGCCUCGAGCCACUACUUCAUAGGGGUAGAGCUACUGAAAGGGAACAGGGGGCUACCCGCCUACCUGUCCCUACCAAACUCCGAAUACUAUGAAGACUAUCUCGGGAGUGAGUCGGCGAGCGAUAAUGUUCGUCGUCGAGAGGGAAACAACCUUGACCGCCUGCUAAGGUCCCUAAUCUAGGCUUAGUUCGUGAGGAAGUUAUUCUGCUGAGACAACCAGGAUGUUGGCUUAGAAGCAGCCACCAUUUAAAAAGUGCGUAAUAGCUUACUGGUCGAGCAGAGUAGCGCCGUAAAUGAUCGGGAAUAAGCGUAGAACCGAAGCAGCGGGCUCAGCAAUGAGCGGUAGAAGAGCGUUGUACUCCGCGUCGAAGCCAUACGGAAACGAGUGGUGGAGCGUGUACAAGUGAGAAUGCCGGUAUGAGUAACGAUAAUGCAGGUGAAAAUCCUGCACGCCGAAAACCUAAGGUUUCCUGGGGAAGGUAAAUCCGCCCAGGGUUAGUCGGGAGCUAAGGCGAGGCCGAAAGGCGUAGUCGAUGCACAGCAGGUUAAUAUUCCUGCACCGAUGUGGAGAUCAAAUCAGAGUGCGGUUUCAGGAUUGACAUCCUCCGGUUAGUUGUGGAGGUUCCGCAAGGUCGCCCGCGAUUCGUUCGGGUAAGUGUCAUGAAUGAGAUCCGAGAAAAGCUCUGAGGGCAAAACAUCGUCCGUACUAAAACUGACACAGGUAGGUGAGGAGAGUAUCCUAAGGCGCUCGAGAGAACUGCGGUUAAGGAACUAGGCAAUCUAACCCCGUAACUUCGGGAGAAGGGGUCCCUACCCGCUUCGGCGGAAGGGCGCAGGAAUCAGACUGGGCGACUGUUUAUCAAAAACACAGUUCUGUGCUAACUCGUAAGAGGAUGUAUACAGAAUGACGCCUGCUCGGUGCCGGAAUGUUAAGGAAGCCGGUCAGGGAUUCGUCCCAAAGCUGGCAACCGAAGCACCGGUAAACGGCGGCCGUAACUAUGACGGUCCUAAGGUAGCGAAGUUCCUUGUCGGGUAAGUUCCGACGUGCAUGAACGGCGUAACGACUUGGUCGCUGUCUCAACCGCAGACUCGGUGAAAUUGAAGUGGCGGUGAAGAUACCGCCUUCCCGCAGCAAGACGGAAAGACCCCAUGCACCUUUACUAUAACCUGGUACUGAUGCCGGCUUCAAACUGCGUAGAAUAGGUGGGAGGCGUUGAUCCUCUGGUUCCGGCCAGAGAGGAGCCGAAAUGUGAAAUACCACCCUGUUUGUAUUCGUCAUCUCACCCUGUCCCGUGAAUCCGGGCAGGGAACAGUGCUAGGCGGUUAGUUUGACUGGGGCGGUCUCCUCCAAAAGAGUAACGGAGGAGUGCAAAGGCAUGCUCAGGACGGUUGGCAAUCGUCCGUCGAGCGCAUAGGUAGAAGCAUGCUUGACUGCGAGUGCUACGGCACAAGCAGAGCUGAAAGGCGGCCUAAGUGAUCCUGUGGUCCCGUGUGGAAGGGCCAUAGCUCAACGGAUAAAAGGUACGCUGGGGAUAACAGGCUGAUCGCACCCGAGCGCCCAUAGCGGCGGUGCGGUUUGGCACCUCGAUGUCGGCCCAUCACAUCCUGGGGCUGAAGGCGGUCCCAAGGGUUUGGCUGUUCGCCAAUUAAAGUGGUACGCGAGCUGGGUUCAGACCGGCGUGAGCCAGGUCGGUCCCUAUCUGCUGCGGGCGUAGGAAUCUUGACGGUAAUAUCUCCCUAGUACGAGAGGAUUAGGAGGUACGGACCCCUGGUGUACCAGUUGUCGCGCUAGCGGCACCGCUGGGUAGCUAUGUCCGGAACGGAUAAACGCUGAAAGCAUCUAAGCGUGAAGCCAAUACCAAGAUUACGAUUCCCAUGAGACCCCCGGUAGACUACCGGGUUGAUAGGCCAGAGCUGUACGGCGUGAAAACGCUUCAGGUCACUGGUACUAACGGUCGAUUGACUUGACC
rnacentral:rRNA from 1 species